CCUACGGGCGGCAGCAGUGAGGAAUAUUGGUCAAUGGGCGAGAGCCUGAACCAGCCAAGUCGCGUGAGGGAUGAAGGUACAGAGUAUCGUAAACCUCUUUUGUCAGGGAACAAAGGCGGGGACGCGUCCCCGGAUGAGUGGACCUGAAGAAAAAGCAUCGGCUAACUCCGUGCCAGCAGCCGCGGUAAUACGGAGGAUGCGAGCGUUAUCCGGAUUUAUGGGGUUUAACGGGUGCGCAGGCGGUCUGUUAAGUCAGCGGUCAAAGCCCGGGGCUCAACCCCGGCCCGCCGUUGAAACUGGCAGUCUCGAGUUGGAGAGAAGUAUGCGGAAUGCGCGGUGUAGCAGUGAAAUGCAUAGAUAUCGCGCAGAACUCCGGUGGCGAAGGCAGCAUGCCGGCUCCACACUGACGCUGAGGCACGAAGGCGUGGGUAUCGAACAGGAUUAGAUACCCUUGUAGUC
rnacentral:rRNA from 1 species